UACAGAACACUAGGGGCUCUGACUGCUCUCCUCACAUACAGUUUCUGGCUAAACUAGAACCGUAUAGAGAGAGGGGUGGAGUGGAGAAACUCACCACAAACAGAUACAUUGUUACACAUUCCUGUCUAUCAUAGACUUACAUUAGAGCUUC